ACGUAGGGGGCGAGCGUUGUCCGGAAUGACUGGGCGUAAAGCGCGCGCAGGCGGCCUGACGCGCCGGCCGUGAAAUCCCCCGGCUCAACCGGGGCGGGUCGGUCGGGACGGUCAGGCUGGAGGGUGUCAGAGGGGGGUGGAAUGCCGCGUGGAGCAGUGAAAUGCGUAGAGAUGCGGCGGAACACCGGCGGCGAAGGCGGCCCCCUGGGGCACAUCUGACGCUGAGGCGCGAAGGCCGGGGGAGCGAACGGGA
rnacentral:rRNA from 1 species